ensembl:lncRNA
AUGAAACAAUGUGGUUUGAAAAUGCCACGUGACUACCGUCCUCCUCCCUCCGGUCCGGAACAGUCCGGAUGUUCAUGGCGCAUUUUUUAUGAGCAAACCUGGAGAAGCUUCAGCUCAAGAUAUUAUUGUUGUCAUUGCUGUGGAUCUUUACCUGAUACACUGACUUGGAUCGGGACCAGCACUCCUGCUGUUGGACAGAAAGACAUCAACUCAGUGGUAUUUUGGUUUUCCAAUAUAUUAGCAACUGUCAGUGACAUUUAUAUCAAUCAGGCUGAACUUUAAUCAUACUUUAGAUCAGCCUGUUUUACUUAUUGUUUUGUUUGUGCUUUGGUUUGGGGAAGUUGUUUCUUUACUGAUCUUUUCCUGUCUUCUGUUAUUAGACUUGAGAUAUGACUGCACUAUGCUGUUGCUGGUGACCACAGUUAAUUCUACAAGACAUGCUGUGUAAGUAAACAAACAACAACAGUUUGGUCUGCAUUUCUUGAAAGAUCACAUCCCCCAAACUUAGUUUAGAGGGUCUACACUGUAUAUAGUGAAGUCUGCAAGUUUUCUAACAGCAAAAUCUGUUUUGUGCCCAAAAUCAUUUUGCACAUCAUUAGAAUGAAAGUUAUUGGCCAUGUUUGCAUAGCCCUUUUUAAAAUGAUGCUUUCAUGACAUUAUUGUAUGUUGGGUGGUGGUCAGGGCUAUCCAGACUGACAAUUUGGGACAUUGAAUGUCACCUCUGCGGUGGGGAGGGAGCCUGAGAUUGUUUAAAUUGGAGUCUGUUUUAUACCAAAUGCAGAAAAAAAUGUUUUAAGAAAGCAAUUAAGUUCAUGUUCCAAAAAAUAUGAUUGUUUGCUUGCAGGACAACAGGAGAGAUGAGUCCUCCGUCACAGAUGGUGUGGUCAGUGAAGAUGGUCGCCUGCAGGUUCAAGCUCAUUGCAUCUCCAACCCACAUCCACUGCCACUGUACUUAAGGGAAGUUAAAGACUUUCUUCUGCACCUGCAUUUGGAUCACCUCGAUCCAUGACAGUCAUUCAGGCAGUAAUGCCUGGCCUGGAAACAAGCAUCCUUAAAAUAAUACAACAUUCCAGCUGCUGUGUUGAAAUGGAAAACAAAUGUGUUGUUUAAAUUAGAGACUGCACUUGUGACAGAACAAUAAAUAUUUUAUUUUGAUUAUAUAAGUAAUGUAAGUACAAAACAAACUUGUGGUAGGCCUAAACUUAUUUUCAGAAUAAUUACAUCUGAGACUUUGUUUCAUUGUAAGAUUAUAACAGUGAUGGCAAUAUAAUUGUUUGUUGUUCAGCAGAACAGUGUCCAGUAUGUUGGCUGUUAUACUUUGUUGUGUUUGAAAAUAAAAGCUGGGCUGAUUUUAACAUCAUUACAAAAAGUGUUGUUAAUUAUUUUUAAUCAUAUUCAGGUUACCACAAAUUGUUUUUUCAUGUAGUUGAACUUGAAAUGUUUGUCAGUAGGUAAACAAUUAGUAUUGUACAGUCAGAAAUAUCAAGUUAUUGUUAAUGCUGCAGACUUGCAAUGUAUAAGUUGUCCUAACAGUCAUCUUAAGUAAGCUUUACUUAGUUUUUUUGAGGCAACGAGUUUCCAUAUUUUUUUUGAGUUCUGGGAACUAAAUAGGUUUUUACUCCAUACUUAAAGUGAAUAAGUUGCCUUAACUUAGUCAUCUUAAGUAAACUUCACUCAAUUUUUUUGAGGCAACGAGUUUGCAUAGUUUUUUUGAGUUCUGUGACCUAAUUAGAUUUUAUAGUGCAGUCAAGAUUUUGGAGGCUGCGUGGACGUGAGGAUGUGUGAAAGCUCUUCUCACUCUCUGUCAAACCAGAAUCGUAUACGUGGACUGAAGAUCAGACUAAAGAUGGAUACAGGACAACAAACACGAUCUGAAAGAGUUUGGAGUAAAGGUCUAGUAUUGAUGCAAAGAAUCGUCUCUGUGGGUGCAA